GACGAACGCUGGCGGCGUGCUUAACACAUGCAAGUCGAACGGUGAUGCUCCAGCUUGCUGGAGUGGAUCAGUGGCGAACGGGUGAGUAACACGUGAGCAACCUGCCCCUGACUCUGGCAUAAGCGCUGGAAACGGCGUCUCAUACUGGAUACGAAACUGGCCCGCAUGGGCAUGGUUUGGAAAGUUUUUCGGUUUGGGAUGGGCUCGCGGCCUAUCAGCUUGUUGGUGAGGUAAUGGCUCACCAAGGCGACGACGGGUAGCCGGCCUGAGAGGGGGACCGGCCAAACUGGGACUGACACACGGCCGAGAGUCGUACGGGAGGCAGCAGUGGGGAAUAUUGCACAAUGGGCGAAAGCAUGAUGCAGCGACGCCGCGUGAGGGAUGACGGCCUUCGGGUUGUAAACCUCUUUCAGCAGGGAAGAAGCGAAAGUGACGGUACCUGCAGAAGAAGCACCGGCUAACUACGUG
rnacentral:rRNA from 1 species